rnacentral:rRNA from 1 species
UGCGAGGGCAUANAGCCCUCGCUUUUCUGAACCGUAAGGUGGUUCAGGAACAAGGGCUGGGCAAGACCGGUGCCAGCCGCCGCGGUAAUACCGGCAGCCCAAGUGAUGGCCGAUAUUAUUGGGCCUAAAGCGUCCGUAGCUGGCCGAACAAGUCCGUCGGGAAAUCCACGCGCUUAACGUGUGGGCGUCCGGCGAAAACUGUUCGGCUUGGGACCGGAANANCUGAGGGGUACGUCUGGGGUAGGAGUGAAAUCCCGUAAUCCUGGACGGACCACCGAUGGCGAAACCACCUCANNANGACGGAUCCGACAGUGAGGGACGAAAGCUAGGGUCUCGAACCGGAUU